AGUGAACGCUGGCGGUAGGCCUAACACAUGCAAGUCGAACGGCAGCACAGUAAGAGCUUGCUCUUACGGGUGGCGAGUGGCGGACGGGUGAGGAAUACAUCGGAAUCUACUUUUUCGUGGGUGAUAACGUAGGGAAACUUACGCUAAUACCGCAUACGACCUACGGGUGAAAGCAGGGGAUCUUCGGACCUUGCGCGAUUGAAUGAGCCGAUGUCGGAUUAGCUAGUUGGCGGGGUAAAGGCCCACCAAGGCGACGAUCCGUAGCUGGUCUGAGAGGAUGAUCAGCCACACUGGAACUGAGACACGGUCCAGACUCCUACGGGAGGCCACAGUGGGGAAUUUUGGACAAUGGGCGCAAGCCUGAUCCAGCCAUACCGCGUGGGUGAAGAAGGCCUUCGGGUUGUAAAGCCCUUUUGUUGAGAAAGAAAAGCAGCAGGUUAAUACCCCGCUGUUCUGACGGUACCCAAAGAAUAAGCACCGGCUAACUUCGUG
rnacentral:rRNA from 1 species